GUGAGCUAGAGAACGAGUUACUCAAUAAAGAGAGGAAACUCCUCCCUCAAAGCAGGCACCCAAAUUAGUGAUAAUUAACUGGAGACAGUUGGCGCCGUAACAGAAAAGCUAUCUGGACAAGAUGAAAAUAUCUAUGAUGGCCUAUACCUGAGUUUUUUUGUCUAGAAUGAAACUGACGUCCUGGGUGGAGCAAGGCCAAAAAGAGAUAAAGAUUCCUGCAUCUGCUCAGGUUGGCCGCUUAGCUAAAUCUCGUAAGAACAGAAGGAGGGUUACUCCUAGCACAC
rnacentral:RNase_P_RNA from 1 species